rnacentral:rRNA from 1 species
UGGGGAAUAUUGCACAAUGGGCGCAAGCCUGAUGCAGCCAUGCCGCGUGUAUGAAGAAGGCCUUCGGGUUGUAAAGUACUUUCAGCGGGGAGGAAGGGAGUAAAGUUAAUACCUUUGCUCAUUGACGUUACCCGCAGAAGAAGCACCGGCUAACUACGUGCCAGCAGCCGCGGUAAUACGUAGGUGGCAAGCGUUGUCCGGAUUUAUUGGGCGUAAAGCGAGCGCAGGCGGUUUCUUAAGUCUGAUGUGAAAGCCCCCGGCUCAACCGGGGAGGGUCAUUGGAAACUGGGAGACUUGAGUGCAGAAGAGGAGAGUGGAAUUCCAUGUGUAGCGGUGAAAUGCGUAGAUAUAUGGAGGAAUACCGGUGGCGAAGGCGGCCCCCUGGACGAAGACUGACGCUCAGGUGCGAAAGCGUGGGGAGCAAACAGG